CCCCUAGAUGUUCUGGGCCGCACGCGCGCUACACUGAACAGUUCAACAAGUCUUAACCUUGGCCGAUAGGUCUGGGUAAUCUUUGAACGCUGUUCGUGAUUGGGAUAGACCUUUGCAAUUAUGGGUCUUCAACGAGGAAUUCCUAGUAAACGCAAGUCAUCAGCUUGCAUUGAUUACGUCCCUGCCCUUUGUACACACCGCCCGUCGCACCUACCGAUUGAAUGGUCCGGUGAAAUCUCGGGACGGCGGCUCGGUCGCUUGCGUCCGACUGCUGAAACUUGAUUAAACCAUAUCAUUUAGAGGAAGGAGAAGUCGUAACA
rnacentral:rRNA from 1 species